GGAGGAUAAGCGAAUGGCUAGCAGGUUGAUUCGAAAUCAAUUGCCCGAAAGGGUUGCGGGUUCGACCCCCGUGUCCUCCG
rnacentral:tRNA from 1 species